GGGCCCGUGGCCUAGUGGAAAAGGCGGCGAGUUUUCCAGCCGCAGAGCGUGGGUUCGAGUCCCACCGGGCCCA
rnacentral:tRNA from 2 species